UUCCCUUCCUGUCUCCAAAAUAAAAUAUAAUAAGAUAAACAAAGAACAUAAUAUUGGGGAUGGACAAAGCAAUAAAACAGAAGGAAAAGGAGCAGAAACAAGAAUCAGAUUCCCAGUUGUUAACGCACUCAAGAAUGCCAUUAAAACAGUAAGCUGAGUGUACCGAGGAAUUAUGAAUAAACUUUCCAAUCCAUGAACACUAUCAAGAACAGUGAGCACUCCAGCCAGUAAUGAGCUUAACGACUUCAUGUUCAGGAGCUAGAACGUACCAAAAGAUGGGACCACUAGUCAGCUGCC
rnacentral:sRNA from 1 species